rnacentral:rRNA from 1 species
UACAGAGGUCUCAAGCGUUGUUCGGAUUCAUUGGGCGUAAAGGGUGCGUAGGUGGCGCCGUAAGUCGGGUGUGAAAUUUCGGAGCUUAACUCCGAAACUGCAUUCGAUACUGCGGUGCUUGAGGACUGGAGAGGAGACUGGAAUUCAUGGUGUAGCAGUGAAAUGCGCAGAUAUCGGGAGGAACACCGGUGGCGAAGGCGGUUCUCUGGGCCUUACCUGACGCUGAGGAGCGAAAGCGUGGGGAGCGAACAGG